UCUCUCCAAACCUAAAACUCUAAGUAUUCUGCUGUAUGAAAGUAAGAAAACGUGUGUUGCCUAGAACAAUGGCAGUGCAUAUGAAUAUUAGGUUAAAACUCGUCAGGGAUAAACUGAAAAUUCUUGUGGGACUUAGCCUUAAAGCCGGCUGGAACCAUUCUGACCAUCGAUUCUUUCUUUUUGACCGAAGGAGGUGAUAUCAAGGUGGUUCGAUAAGAAUCAAUGUUAUAAUUAGAAAUCUGAAACAAAAUUUAUGGAGAGGAAAGACAAAAAGAAAAAGUUUGGAACGUGACAAAGCAAAAUAAAAGUUAUAAAGCCUGAAAGUUGUUCGUUUUGGAAGAAGAAAAGCAAAGGUCUAUCAUUAAUUGUUUCCGCAAUAAGCAUUGAUAUGGUAAUUCAGAAAUGAUAUGGUAAUUGUUUCCGCAAUUAAAUUAGAAUUAUAAAAAUUAUAAUAUAUACAUAUAUAUAUAUAUUAUAAUUAAUAUUAUAAUUUUUUCAAAUAAAAAUAUUUCUAUAAUUUUAAAAAGUUUAAAACUAUAACUUUAUAAAUAUAAUUUUUACAUUUAUUACAAUAUUAUGGUUUUUGAUAUUUUUAUAAUUAUAUAAAAUGUAAUAUUCUUAAUUUAUUAUUUAACCGCUGCUGCAUUUGCUAGUUAACCUGCAUAAAUAUCCCGUGAACGCACCAAUUUUUAACCGCAGAACCAGACCUACAGAUCUCUUAAAACUGCUAGAAACCGCAACCAUCCGCAUCCGCAAACUUCCGCAACUGCAACCGUUGCGUUUGAACUAGUCACGCUUAUGACUGGUUUCUCCGCUACCACACGCAAACGCAGAUUUUGCGGUUGGUAGCGGCUUUUGCGGUUGGUAGCGGUUCUUGGCGUUUUGCAGCAAUCACUCAAACCGCUCUAAACCGUUUUAAACCUCUCUAUACCUCAUAAAUUAAAAAGCUGGUUCCAACUAGCGUUUGUGGUUGCGGGAAGAUAAUUUUUUUUCUUUUAAAUUAUAUAAAUACAAAAAUAAAAUAUUAAAUAAAAAUUUUAAAUUGGAAUUAUAAAAAUACUAAAAUAUAUCUAUUAUUUAAAUUAAUAUUAAAAAUUAUAAAAUAAAAAUAUUUUCUAUAAUUUUAUAAAAUUUAAAACUAUAACUUUCUAAAUAUAAUUUUUAUAUUUAAUAUAACAUUAUUAUUUUUGAUACAUUUAUAAUUAUAUAAAAUGUAAAUAUGGUUAAUUUAUUAUUUAACCGCUACUGCUUUUGGUAGUUAACCAGUCAUAAGUAUCCCGCAAAUACACAAAUUUCUAACCGCAUAACUAGUUGUAAAAUAUCUCUUAAAACAGCUAGAAACCGCAACCACCCGCAUCUGUAAACUUCCGCAACCGCAGCCGCUGCGUUUGAACCAGUUAGUCCUUUAGGGAAUGACCGGUUUCCCCGCUACUACCCGCAGCUUUUGCGGUUGGUAACGGUUAUUGGCGUUUUGCAACAAUCACUCAACCAUAAACCGCUUUAAACCUUAUAAAUUCAAAAGUUGGUUUUAGCUAGCGUUUGCGGUUGCGGAUGGUUGCAGGAGGAUAAACAUUUUUUCUUUUUUUUUUAAACAAUAGAAAUACAUAAAUAAAAAUAUUCAAUAAAAAAUUUAAUUGAAAUUAUAAAAAUACUAAAAUAUAUAUAUUAUAUUUUAAUUAAUAUCAUAAUUUUUUUUAAUAAAAAUAUUUUCUACAAUUUAAAAAAGUUAAAACUAUAACUUUCUAAAUAUAAUUUUUAUAUUUAUUAUAAAAUUAUUGUUAUUGAUAUUUUUAUAAUUAUAUAAAAUAUAAAUAUAGUUAAUUUAUUAUUUAAUCGCUGUUGCAUUUGGUAGUUAAUCAGUCAUAAAUAUCUUGUAAAACACCAAUUUAUAACCGCAAAACCAGUUGUACAAAUCUCUAAAAAGAGCUAGAAACCGCAACCAGCCGCAUCCGCAAACUUGUUCAAAAGCAACAUGUCAUGCCUUACAGAUCUAAAAUCCUCAAAAUUUUCUUAAAUCCCCAAUUCGAUAAGUUCUCCUAUAUGUUUUUUACAACUUGUUCAACCUGUUUUAGCGAAGCAAAUCUAUGUUCAUCAAUCUUGACACAUGGUUGGUUAUCUUGUGAGAAAUCACUGUAAUGGGGGUACGAAUGUGUCUCCUGGCAUUUCUUUCUCUCCAUAUUGCAUGGAUGCAGGCUUGUAGGGCAUUACCGUGUCAAGAAAGUUAUCCGUAGACCUCCAUUUGUGUCCAUCACCAACUCCGUUAAUUCAAGCCACUUGGUGGUGAAAUUAGACGGCAGCAUCACCCGCAUCAGUAGAGUCCAGACUUCAGCAGAGUAUGAGCAUUCAGAAAGAGUUGAUCUCGAGUUUCGAAAGGGUUGGCAGAGAACACAUGGUGAAUUAGUGUUGGUAUUCCAGCUGAGCAUUCUAUCUCCAGUCGGCAGCUUGUUUAGUUAAGUAAGCCAGUGAAAGAAAGCUAACUUAGGAAUACUGUGCUGAAACCAUACUCCUUUUGGCCAUUGUAGUGGAUGUGCUUGCUUUCUAGUCAAUUCCCACGUGAGUUUUGUCUUGAAAGCAGGCUUGAACUUGUCAUUACUCUGUUUCCAUAGUGAUUGAUCCUUCAAUGUUAUCAUCUUUGCCUUUUGAGUUGCCAUAGCUGCAGACACUAUUGCAGUUUUAGGAACACCCAUAUCAUCAAUGCAUCCACGAGAUCCAGCCAUACAGUCGGCCAAUAGUGCACUAAGAAUCAAACCAGAACAAGACAUUCUGACCAUCUCCAACUCUCAACAUGUGCAUAUCUUUUGCUUUGUCUCGAUGUUUUAGUAUCUUGCGCCACAUCGACGAGCCUAUUAUAGUGUUGUCGUGAAUUGACCAUGUUUGAUAUUUGUCAACAAUUGUUCCUCCUUUCAAAAUGUACACAAUAAAAAUCACAUUGAGUAAACCCUGAAACAA